GGUUAAGCGACUAAGCGUACACGGUGGAUGCCUAGGCAAUCAGAGGCGAUGAAGGACGUGCUAAUCUGCGAAAAGCGUCGGUAAGGUGAUAUGAACCGCUAUA
rnacentral:rRNA from 1 species